CUAGGGCAGGAGGCCCUGGUGCCAACUCCGUCAGGCAUCUCCACAUCUCCUACGCGGUCCCCCUCUCCCAGACCUACUCCGGGAGCCGCUACUCGGGAGGAGGUGAUCGCGUUCGGAGGGAUCCGAGACCCUGCUUCCGAGGGGAGGCGGACGAGCUCUCGUCUCCAGGACCUUCCGGAGGUUGAUGAUUUGCAGCAGAGGUGCGCUAUGCGGGCGGCCAAGCUGCGUGAUGUGGAGAGCACAACAGGUUAUCUUCCGAGCAACGGCUCUUAUCCGUUCCUGGUCGCUACUCACUCCGACGGAGGCCAGGGAGCUUUUGGUUACUGCUGCUAUCCGAUGGGAGAUGGUAGCUCGGGAUAUAUUCAGCCGGUUUGGAUGGCGGUCGUGUAACAGGAUAGGCAAUUAGUUUACCUGUCUAUUUUGGAGCCAAACGGCUGUGAUGUAUAAGUGCUUUGGCUAGCUUGUGUAUCUAGCCUUCGGGCUCUGUGUGAGCCUUUUCUUACUUUUCUUGUUGACAACCUUGAGACUUGGAGACUUUGUGGACUAUUUUAUGCUUAAUAAGAUGGCCGUAUGCAUCAUGCUGAUGCAGAGGCCGGGGAAGCCCCCCUUUUCGAAAAAAAAA